GCUGUACUUAUUGUUCUUGGAAAGGACAAGAGAGGAUAAGGACAGCUAUUUCCUUAUUGUUCUGUGCAGAAGGUUAAUUUUUUCUAAACCAAAGCUUAGCCAUUUAUCCGAGUCUACAAAGGUACUUCUGACUCUCAUCAUCUACUUCUAGUACCUUCCCUUACCUAUCCAUACCCAUUGGCAGCAUGGUUAUCCACCAUCCCACAGAGCACUCAGAAAGCCCCUGCACCCUUGAAAAUAUACCAAAUCAGUAGUAUGUAUUUUACAUGUUAUGAGACCAAAUGACUCAAGCAUCAACCCCUUUGCUUUUCGUAGGUCCGCCAAAAUACGCUUCAGUCAUACAAAAGUGAAAAUCCUUGCAAAAAGCUCAGGGCCACAAUGGUGAUUCCUGUUCCUGUAUUUUCCAGUUCCAUCAUGUAAAGAAGAGUGACAAACUGCUUCAGAAGUGAGUUUUUUUCACAGUAUGCUCUGACAGUGGACCUUGUCCUAGCCUACUGCCUUCUGCUGUUUCUCCAGCAAAAAAGGGACUUCACAUUGAUCAGGAAAGGCAACUGGGAUGUCACCCACCACAGGAAAAAUCUCCUUCAUGCUCUUUGUGUAGCUGUUUUAGGCAUGGUCUCUGUCUGCAGUGUGGAAAUUUAGGCAAUGAAUUCCACCAUGACAACAAGUGGUUAUUACUGUGUGCAAUAAUAAAAUGACUUUCUGGCAUCUC